UUGGACCUGAUAAGUGGCGGGUGAUAGUUUCUCCAGGUUAAACGUGGGGUCAGUAGCGCCCGUUUCGUCCACAAAAUUCAAUGGAUACCUGUACAUAUUUAAGUUGGUGACCGAAUCCCGGUAGUUUUCAACAGAACAAUAAGUCUUGAGUAGGAUCUUUCUUUGGAUUGUUAUUGGGACAGAGCUUGAAUUCAUAGAAGCCCCUGUGCGUAGCCGUUAUCUGAAUCGUGACGGGAAUAAUUUGGCCUUGCGUGUAAUUCCGCACGAUCGUCCCAGUGGCAAAAAGGCCACCGGGAGCCUCAUGUGGCUUAAUCACCUCGUCAUAGGGAUCGCCGCACACUCCACAUCGACCCGAAUUCACCAACCAUUGCCUCUGCCUCGCAGAAAAAGAAAAGGAUCACAAGGAUACCACAGUGUGUUCUUAAUAGUACAAAUUACAUCAAAUCCGCCGCAAAAUCCCUCCAUAUCCUAAUAAAAUCAUAGAGCGCGAUGGUGGAUCAAAUAAUCUUCCGUGGCCGUCGACCAAAGUCAUCUUUGGUUUUAUGUGAACAGAAGUUUAAGGUAUAGAUAUAUUUUAUACAGUUAAGACGCAAGAAUGGCCAAUGCGAUGGCCCUCCACUCCAGUUGAGCCAGUAGAUUCAUCACACUAACUGCUGUAAGAGUGAACUGUUCAGAGUUAACUACGGUAGAGCUAUGAUUGGUGGCAUUCAACUGUUCCAUGCUUCAAUGAGAGCUGGACACUUUUAUAGCCGGAGAAAAAUAGAAUUGCUGGCAGUGACAUCCGAGGUGAUCUGGAAACUGAAUGACCUGGAACAGAAAAGGACAUGAGCAGGUCAGGUUCUAAUUUACGCGGCUAGAAAAUCAGCAAUCAAUAAGAAGGGAGUGUUGUUACGUGAUCAUCCAUCUUUACUGCGGAUACAAAUGCAACCAUAAACGUAAUAUCGAUGCAGUCGUUUUAUAAAAGGUCUCUUUGUUUGUUCUUUCUUUGGGAAAGUGAAAAAAGUAAAAGAAGAUCAUCGGCAGCGAUUUGGUAGCCUCCUACCUAAUUGGCCGAGCUGUGUAGUCGACUAGACGUCUUUAUGCCCCCGUUUAGAACCUUCUUUCAGAUUUUUAUCCCUUUAAAGAAAGGCAGAUUAGGUGAGUUUGCCAUGGUCUAUAGCGCGGCAGGACGUCUUCUGUCUUUCGUACGCCCUAGUAGCUAGCUCGUCAGUUCAUCAGGUAGAGAAAAUUGGCGAUAUGUAUGACAGCUUCAGCAGCUCUUUUCGUUUUAUCACGCACUGGCAAUCAAUCCCUGUGUACGUGCCUAGAACGUGAGACAUCAUAGGCUUAGUAAAUGGCGCCAUUCCCUAUUGACUUGACAGUUCUUGGAUGCUUUCUGAGAAAAAAUGUUUGUGUUUUCCAAUUUCUUUAUUUUGAAAAACUAAGGUAGGGUAUCACAUGACAGCUGGCCAUGUCGCCUUCGAUUCUGCCUCGAUAGAUCAUCAUCUUUUUUAAGUUUUACCUUCCUGAUUCAAAUGAUUUGUUUAAGGUUCAGAAAUGGAAAAAUUGAAACCUCAUCUAACAAUUUGCGUGGAUUAAACUUUUCCUUGAAGGGAAAAUCCUCACAUUCGGUAGAUUUUGAAAAUUAGUUUCAAAUGGAGUCACCGUUGAUACCAAAGUAUCCACUUUGAUGUUCGUGUUCUGAGUUGCACGUUUAAUAGCAUCAGGGCUUGAAUUUAUUUGGGCAAGCGUCAGCUAGAACCAGUGAGAUAGAAAUUAUUUGGAUAGAAUAGUAAAUAGAAUUUCUUUUACAAUGGUAUUCAAUAGAAGAUUUCCAUGGAAACCAAAUUCUCCAGAAAAAAAAUUUCCUGGGUCUUCAUGUGUUUUGUUCAAACGCAAGUUGAACUACAAAUUUUAAUCGCCAAGAGAUGGCGAACAGUCUGUUAAGUCAGAGAAGUUUCUUCAGGUCAAGUUCUUCUAUUCAAUCUGACGGCUCUACAUCUUCGGCUCACUAUUACCGUUUCGCGCGUGCGUAUUUCUCAAUCAUAACCACGCGAUUGCAAUUUACGCUGCUAGCCCCGAUUCAGUACAUUCGCGUGGUUCUCCCAUGUGUACAUCUUUACAAGAAACUUUUGUGUUAAUUUGUGUAUUCACGUUAAUACAAGUUCAUCUUUGUGUAAUUAAA